rnacentral:rRNA from 1 species
UACGAAGGGGGCGUGCGUUGUUCGGAUUUACUGGGCGUAAAGAGCGCGUAGGCGGAAGCUUAAGUGUGGCCUGAAGGCCCCCGGCUCAACCGGGGAGGGUGGCUGCAAACUGGGCUUCUUGAGGGCGAUAGAGGAAGGUAGAAUUCCGGGUGUAGCGGUGAAAUGCGUAGAGAUCCGGAGGAAUACCAGUGGCGAAGGCGGCCUUCUGGGUCGACCCCGACGCUGAGGCGCGAAAGCGUGGGGAGCGAACGGG